rnacentral:lncRNA from 1 species
AUCUCAUAAAUCUAAUUUUCAAUAUGGUCAACAAACAAACGCUUCCUACCAUGUUCAUUCAUUCAUAAUUCAUUCAAUUUGAUUAUUACUUGUAGCAGAGAAAAUUAUUAUUUAAUUAAAACCAAAACACAUCUCAACAAACCUGUUACUGUUUCAUUAGGAAUUUGGUGGCACCAACUUUCUCCAUCAACAACGUCCAUCUUUGACUUCU